rnacentral:lncRNA from 1 species
UGAUGUGUGUGUAUAUGUGUGAUAUGCGUAUGUGUUGUGUUUGCGUGUGCGUGAUUUAUGUGUGCGUGUGUGAUGUGUGUGUGUGUGCGCGUGUGAUGUGUGUGUAUAUGUGUGAUAUGCGUGUGUGUUGUGUUUGCGUGUGCGUGAUUUAUGUGUGCGUGUGUGAUGUGUGUGUGUGUGUGCGUGAUGUAUUUGUAAUGUGUGUGUUUCAUAUGUAGGUGUGUGUGUGUGUGAUGUGUGUGUGAUAUGUGGGUAAUGUGUGUGUGAUGUGUGUGUGUGUGUAAUAUGUGUGUAUGUGUGUGUGUUGUGUGUGAUGUGUGUGAUGUGUCUGUGUAUGUGUGUGAUGUGUGUGUGUGAGAGAUGUGUGUGUGUGUGUGAGUGAUGUGUAUGUGAUGUGUGUGUGUCUCUGCGUGUGUGUUGUGUGUGUGUGUGUGUGAUGUGUGUGUGAUGUAUGUGUGUGUCCUCCGUGUGUGCGUGUGAUAUGUGUGUGUGUGUGUCUCUGUGUGUGUGAUGUGUCUUUGCCUGUGUAUGUGUGUGUGUGUGUCUGUGUGUAUGGUGUGUGUAUGUCUGUCUGUAUGUGUGAUAUGUAUGUGUGUGUGUAUUUGUGUGUGUGAUGUGUGUG